rnacentral:rRNA from 1 species
GAUGAACGCUGGCGGCGUGCCUAAUACAUGCAAGUCGAACGCUGAAGGAGGAGCUUGCUCUUCUGGAUGAGUUGCGAACGGGUGAGUAACGCGUAGGUAACCUGCCUGGUAGCGGGGGAUAACUAUUGGAAACGAUAGCUAAUACCGCAUGACAACAGUUAUUGCAUGAUAACUGUUUAAAAGGGGCAACUGCUCCACUACCAGAUGGACCUGCGUUGUAUUAGCUAGUUGGUGAGGUAACGGCUCACCAAGGCGACGAUACAUAGCCGACCUGAGAGGGUGAUCGGCCACACUGGGACUGAGACACGGCCCAGACUCCUACGGGAGGCAGCAGUAGGGAAUCUUCGGCAAUGGACGGAAGUCUGACCGAGCAACGCCGCGUGAGUGAAGAUGGUUUUCGGAUCGUAAAGCUCUGUUGUAAGAGAAGAACGAGUGUGAGAGUGGAAAGUUCACACUGUGACGGUAUCUUACCAGAAAGGGACGGCUAACUACGUG